rnacentral:rRNA from 1 species
AUGCAGUCGAGCGGAAACGAGUUAUCUGAACCUUCGGGGAACGAUAACGGCGUCGAGCGGCGGACGGGUGAGUAAUGCCUGGGAAAUUGCCCUGAUGUGGGGGAUAACUAUUGGAAACGAUAGCUAAUACCGCAUAACGUCUACGGACCAAAGAGGGGGACCUUCGGGCCUCUCGCUUCAGGAUAUGCCCAGGUGGGAUUAGCUAGUUGGUGAGGUAAUGGCUCACCAAGGCGACGAUCCCUAGCUGGUCUGAGAGGAUGAUCAGCCACACUGGAACUGAGACACGGUCCAGACUCCUACGGGAGGCAGCAGUGGGGAAUAUUGCACAAUGGGCGCAAGCCUGAUGCAGCCAUGCCGCGUGUAUGAAGAAGCCUUCGGGUUGUAAAGUACUUUCAGUCGUGAGGAAGGC